GUGCCAGCAGCCGCGGUAAGACAGAGGCCUCAAGCGUUAGGCGGAAUCACUGGGCUUAAAGCGUGUGUAGGCGGAUCGUUAAGUGCCUUGUGAAAUCCCACGGCUUAACUGUGGAACGGCUGGGCAUACUGGCGGUCUUGAGCCAUCUAGGGGCGACUGGAACAAACGGUGGAGCGGUGAAAUGCGUAGAUAUCGUUUGGAACGCCAAUGGUGAAAACAGGUCGCUGGGGAUGCGCUGACGCUGAGACACGAAAGCCAGGGGAGCAAACGGGAUUAGAAACCCCUGUAGUCC
rnacentral:rRNA from 1 species